CUCCACUUGGCGUAGUUGGUUUAUCGCGUCUGACUGUAAUAUCAUUGUAAUCAGAAGGUCCCUAGUUCGAUUCUGGGAGCGGAGA